UCUAUUAUUAUUAGUGGUUAGAGCGUAGGUCUCGUAACCGAAAGAUCGCGGGAUCGAAUCCCGUUAGAG
rnacentral:tRNA from 1 species